AUUGAACGCUGGCGGCAGGCUUAACACAUGCAAGUCGAACGAGUGGCGGACGGGUGAGUCAUGCUUGGGAAUCUAGCUUAUGGAGGGGGAUAACUACGGGAAACUGUAGCUAAUACCGCGUACCAUAGGAUGAGCCCAAGUGGGAUUAGGUAGUUGGUGAGGUAAAGGCUAACCAAGCCGACGAUCUCUAGCUGGUCUGAGAGGAUGACCAGCCACACUGGGACUGAGACACGGCCGAAACUCCAACGGGAGUCAGCAGAGGGGAGUAUUGCGAAAUGGGGGCAACCUGACGCAGCAAUGCCGCGGGAAUGAAGAAGUCCUUCGGGUUUUAAAGUUCUUUCGGUAGCGAGGCGUUAACUACAGAAGAAGCACCGGCUAACUCCGUGCCAGCAGCCGCGGUAAUAC
rnacentral:rRNA from 1 species